rnacentral:rRNA from 1 species
AACGAACGCUGGCGGCAGGCCUAACACAUGCAAGUCGAGCGGACCUUUCGGGGUCAGCGGCGGACGGGUGAGUAACGCGUGGGAAUAUGCCCUUCUCUACGGAAUAGUCCUGGGAAACUGGGGGUAAUACCGUAUACGCCCUUUGGGGGAAAGAUUUAUCGGGGAAGGAUUAGCCCGCGUUGGAUUAGGUAGUUGGUGGGUAAUGGCCUACCAAGCCGACGAUCCAUAGCUGGUUUGAGAGGAUGAUCAGCCACACUGGGACUGAGACACGGCCCAGACUCCUACGGGAGGCAGCAGUGGGGAAUCUUAGACAAUGGGGGCAACCCUGAUCUAGCCAUGCCGCGUGAGUGAUGAAGGCCUUAGGGUUGUAAAGCUCUUUCAGCUGGGAAGAUAAUGACGGUACCAGCAGAAGAAGCCCCGGCUAACUCCGUG